AUCCAGUUGACGAGUCCCAAAAUAGGACGAAGUGCUCGUCGAACUGGAU
rnacentral:hammerhead_ribozyme from 1 species